GCAUUCCUGGACUCCACUCUCAUCUGCCCAUGCACUUCCUCACCAUCCUGCCUGCCUGAAGAUUCAAGAAUGUUAAGGAUUCCCAUCUGGCUUGGGUGUGCCCGUUAAUAAAAGGGGUAACACAUGGAACGAUGCCCUCUUUGGAUCCUAGGCCCUGCCCUGGCUUCUUGGUUGACUUUGGUGAAUGGAGCAAUAGCUAAAACACCUUAUCAGGAGCCUGUAUUUACACAUGUCACCAUCAAGUGAAGCCUGUUAAUCCUAAAAUAGGAAGGGAUGAAGAGUGAUCAUCUUGCCUGUCAUUUUCCUCCAGACCCAAGAAUAUAUUUUUAAAUAAGAAUAUAUUUCUAAAAUCCCAAGAAUACGUUUCUGAAUCUUCUAAGAAAGGAGACUCCACUGCCUACAAUGACAGAGCUUUCUGACUCCUGUGAAACUUCAUGUAUUUUUGCUGAUGUUAAAGAUGAAUUCUACCAACUAAGGUGAGCAGAACAGAUCUUUGGCUCCACCGCCCUCCUAUUCUUGGAAACAGUUGUCCUGAUAAUAUCUCUGGCUCAUCACAACUCCAUGCCAUUGAUCUCUCCAUCAUUUUCUCCACUGUGCCUAAAGGAGAUAACCCAGCUGGACUGUAUCUUUCAUCCUGCAAUUAACACAUCUUAAGAGAAAGGUAGGGAAGAUGAAUCCCUCUUAUCACCACCCUUCACCGCAAAGCCUGUUUUCAGUAGUGUUUUUACCUAGGAAAGCCACUACAAAACUCCUAAGGGCAUGGGGGGACACAUUAAGAAGCCACCACGACCCCGUGUUCCAUCACUCUGUGAGCCUGUAGUUCUAAACCAUUCAUUCUUUUAGUGAUGGUGGUCACACAAGGGAAGCCCCUCACA
rnacentral:lncRNA from 1 species